rnacentral:rRNA from 1 species
GACGAACGCUGGCGGCGUGCUUAACACAUGCAAGUCGAACGGAAAGGCCCUGCUUGCCGGUUACUCGAGUGGCGAACGGGGGAGUAACACGUGUGCGAUCUGCCCUGCACUUCGGGAUAAGCCUGGGAAACUGGGUCUAAUACCGGAUAUGAGCCAUUGUUAGUGUGAUGGUUGGAAAGUUUUUUUGGUGAAGGAUGAGCUCGCGGCCUAUCAGCGUGUUGGUGGGGUAAUUGCCUACCAAGGCGGCGACGGGUAGCCGGCCUGAGAGGGUGGACGGCCACACUCGGACUGAGAUUCGGCCCAGACUCCUACGGGAGGCAGAAGUGGGGAAUAUUGCGCAAUGGGCGCAAGCCUGAUGCAGCGACGCCGCGUGGGGGAUGACGGCCUUCGGGUUGUAAACUCCUUUCGCUAGGGACGAAGCUUUUUGUGACGGUACCUAGAGAAGAAGCGCCGGCUAACUACGUG